UGCGCCUCCUGCCGCCUCCUAGCGGCCCGGGCCGCGACCACGCUGCCCGCCCCGCCCCGCCCCGAGCCCGGGGCCCCGCACUCCGCUGCCGUGGAAGGGAGUUGCAUUUCCCGGGGUACCCCGAGCUGCCCUCCUGUGACUCCUUGGCGGGGCGGCUGGUCAGAGUGUGCCUCUGGGCCGGUGGGCGACCCGGAGGAGGGGGAAGAUGCCGCCGGCCACGGGCGGAGGCCUGGCAGAGUCCGAACUGCGUCCUCGGAGGGGCCGCUGUGGGCCCCAGGCUGCUAGGGCCGCACGCCGGGACGUGGCCGCCGAGGCUGCGGCGCGAAGCCCCAAACGGCCUACCCGGGGCUCACGGCGCUUCGAGGCGGCCGGCCGGUGGGCCCUGCUGGCCUUGGUGACGCUGCUGUCCUUCGCCACCCGUUUCCACCGCCUGGCCGAGCCGCCGCACAUCUGUUGGGAUGAGACUCACUUUGGAAAAAUGGGAAGUUACUAUAUCAACCGUACGUUUUUCUUUGACGUGCACCCGCCUCUGGGAAAGAUGCUGAUAGGUCUUGCUGGCUACCUGAGUGGAUAUGAUGGUACCUUUUUGUUCCAGAAGCCUGGGGAUAAAUAUGAGCAUCACAGCUACAUGGGAAUGAGAGGAUUCUGUGCAUUCCUCGGCUCCUGGCUGGUCCCCUUUGCCUACCUCACUGUAUUGGAUCUGUCUAAGUCCCUCUCGGCAGCACUGCUCACCGCUGCCCUCCUCACCUUUGACACGGGAUGCCUCACUCUGUCCCAGUACAUCCUCCUUGACCCCAUCCUGAUGUUCUUCAUCAUGGCUGCCAUGCUGAGCAUGGUCAAGUACAACUCCUGCGCCAACAGGCCCUUCUCUGCCCCCUGGUGGUUCUGGCUCAGCCUGACUGGUGUUAGUCUUGCUGGUGCUUUAGGGGUCAAGUUUGUUGGCCUCUUUAUCAUCCUUCAAGUGGGGCUGAACACCAUUGCAGACCUUUGGUACCUGUUCGGAGACCUCAGUCUUUCAUUGGUGACUGUGGGAAAACACCUGACUGCUCGUAUCCUGUGCCUCAUAGUGCUGCCCCUGGCUCUCUACACAGCCACCUUUGCUGUUCACUUCAUGGUGCUGAGUAAAAGUGGCCCUGGUGACGGUUUCUUCAGUUCUGCCUUCCAGGCCCGGCUUUCAGGGAACAACCUGCACAAUGCUUCCAUCCCUGAACACCUGGCCUACGGCUCUGUGAUUACUGUGAAGAACCUCCGGAUGGCCAUCGGCUAUCUGCACUCCCACAGGCACCUCUACCCCGAGGGCAUUGGUGCCCGUCAGCAGCAGGUCACCACCUAUUUGCACAAGGACUACAACAACCUGUGGAUUAUCAAGAAACAUAACACAAAUUCAGAUCCCCUAGACCCUUCCUUCCCAGUGGAGUUUGUGAGACAUGGAGACAUUAUUCGACUAGAACACAAAGAAACUUCCCGGAACUUACACAGUCACUAUCAUGAGGCCCCCCUGACCCGGAAGCACUAUCAGGUCACCGGCUAUGGCAUAAAUGGAACAGGGGACUCAAAUGAUUUCUGGCGGAUUGAGGUUGUAAACAGAAAAUUUGGAAACCGGAUCAAAGUGCUGAGAAGUCGAAUUCGCCUCAUCCAUUUGGUCACAGGUUGUGUCCUGGGCUCCUCGGGAAAGGUUCUGCCCAAGUGGGGCUGGGAGCAGUUGGAAGUUACUUGCACCCCAUACCUGAAAGAAACCCUCAACUCCAUCUGGAAUGUGGAGGACCAUAUCAAUCCCAAGUUGCCAAACAUCAGCCUGAAUGUGCUGCAGCCCAGUUUUCCUGAGAUCUUGCUAGAAUCCCACAUGGUCAUGAUCCGGGGGAACAGUGGCCUCAAACCCAAGGACAAUGAGUUCACAUCCAAACCCUGGCACUGGCCUAUCAACUAUCAGGGCCUACGCUUCUCAGGGAUCAAUGACACAGACUUCCGAGUCUAUCUGCUUGGCAACCCGGUGGUUUGGUGGCUGAAUCUGUUGAGCAUCGCCCUCUACCUCCUCUCAGGGAGCAUCAUUGCUAUAGCCAUACAGAGAGGGGCACAGCUGCCAGCGGAGGUUGCAGGAAACCAAGGAACCAAGAGAUUAAGAAACUUGCCCCAGGACAUACAGCUAGGUUGUCCCAGGUCCUGCUACGAGGAGGCGGCCAGGUCCUGCUUGGCUGGACACUCCAUUACUUCCCGUUCUUCCUGAUGGGCCGGGUCCUCUACUUCCACCACUACUUCCCAGCCAUGCUCUUCUCAAGCAUGUUGACAGGCAUUCUGUGGGACACCCUCCUGCGGCUCUGUGCCUGGGGCUUGGCCUCUUGGCCCCUGGCAAGAGGCAUACACGUGGUGGGAAUCCUGAGCCUGCUCCUGGGAACCGCCUACAGCUUCUACCUCUUCCACCCUCUGGCUUACGGGAUGGUUGGUCCCCUGGCCCAGGACCCCCGAAGUCCGAUGGCAGGACUAAGGUGGCUAGACUCAUGGGACUUUUGAGGCCACUGCAAAGAUUCCAUCCUGGGUCCAGGACUUCCCAGGAGAGCCAGCUGGGGAGCAGUACUGGACCCUUCCAGCCAGGAGGAAGCUGCCUAAGGAGCCUGAAGAAUUCUGCUCACCAGGACCCAGCUCUGGAAGUGCAGCGGGAACGGAACCCAGCAUUGGAGAGAGCCGGGAGAGAGCUGCAGCUCCGUCCACAGCACCACAGAACCACAGAGAGGACAGCACCUCUCAGGCUGCUCCCUCGUGCUGAGCGCAGGGGAAGAUGGGUGCCAGAGGGUGGGUGUGGGUGCGUGUGUAUGUGAGGGCACAUUGUCCAUAUCCCUGUGGAAUACAAGCCAUGUAACUGUGGACAGCUGAGUGUCAUAAACUAAAAUAGUCCAGGCUAUAGUAUUUUCUGGUAUUUUUUUCAUGUUGGAUUUCUUUGGUUUUAGUUUGUAAGAUCCAUCAAAAAUUCUCAGACCUCUAAGAGGGCCUUGAGGGCAGAGAAUACUGACCUCACCUUGGGAUGUCACCAAAGGCAGAGCAGAUGGGACUGUCAAAGUUGUGUUGCCCUCCCUCCCACAAACAAAUGAAUCCAGCGUGGAGAAAGGCACACCGCCCCGAGCUGGAGGGCCUGGCUCCCACCACGCCCCCCAGUGGCUGCAGGUAGCCGGACUCCCUGCCUGUGAUGCACAGAGAGCACCGGACUCCGGAGGGUCGCCUGCCUUAGUCCUUGGUUCCUCGUUUUUUGGGAUUGUCACACUGUGAGACUCAGGGGAGGAAUGAUGUCCUAUCCUGGGCUGCUCAGUGUUUCCAGGCCCCGUGUGCCAGAGGCCAGGUCUCUCCAAGUGCAUCUGGCCUGGCCUGGAGGGCAAGGCAGAUGCAUUCUCCUGGCUGCUGGGAGAGCCCUUGGGAACCUGGCUUAGCGCCCAAGGUAGGUGAGAGACAGGACAGGGAAUCUGCAUGGUGCUGGGGUAUGGGGACUCUGGCCUCUUCAGACUAAUGUUCCUGUCACCUGCUAAGCUUUCCCAGUGUCACUUCUACAGUCCUCCUCUGCUCACCCCUCCCUCACUCUGUGGGCAAUUCCCUUUCUCUCUGUCACUGCUGCAGCAAUGAAGACCCAUGGCACCUAGAAAUGCAUCCCAGCUUCCUGCGUCUACCACUCUGCAGCUCAAACAAGAAGCUCAGAGCUGCCCCUUCCACUUCCUCCCCGAAAGGGAUGAAGAAAACCCUGUGGUAAAGGCCAGCCCUUCAGCCUGCCUCCUCCUUCCUGGUGCAUGACAAAAUAUUUCUUUUGUCUCAGAGGACUUUGAUGCUUCAAGAUUUAAUGAUGAAUCUGCCACACACCAUUUUCCCUCCUCUGUAGCUCCCAACAACUCUGACAGGGUCAGAUCUCUUUAAAGCAUCUUUGGGAGGUGGUUGCCACGGAGACUGGAUAUUGGUCCCAGGGACAGGCUGUGCUACCUACUGGGUGGUGGGGAGGAAAGCUUCUGGCCAUGCUUGGACAUUCAAACCAACCAUCAUUAAUGUUAAUAGAGGAAAUGCAGCAACAUCAAAAGCAAGGCAGGUUGGUUAAUUAGAUCUGGGGCCUGAUGACCUCCCUCUCCCACCGCUACAGCCCUUUUGACUUCCCCCAGCAGGAAGCGCUGUCUGUGCGGCUGAGUCUGGGCUGCUUGCUUAAUUGCAUUUCUGGCAGGGAAGGAGAGGAGGGAUGGAGAAGCUCUGCUCCCUGCCUCCACCUCACCAUGUUUCCUCCCCUCCCCUCCCUUCCUCUCCUGCCUCCCCACAGGCAGAAUUGCUUUCUUCUGAGCCGGGUGGGCUCUCCUGCAGGUAGAAUGCAGGGGUCUGUGCUUGGCUCUUAGCAAAGCGGGUGGCCCACAGUGACCUCCAGGAGGCGGCUGAUUUUCCUUUGUGCCUUCUUGUUUCUCAGUAGGAACUUGGAAGGCAGGAGCUCUGAAGGAGCCAGAGGGGCAGCCACCCGGCAUGAGGGUGAGGAAGGAGAAGCCCAGCAGCCUCUACCCAUCCCUCCCUCCCAGUUAGGCUGCACUGGGGCCGAACGCUUCCCUGGGCUCCCACUGCCUUCUACGGAGCCAAGGAGAAUUUCCUGCCCACUUUCUCUUCCUCCAUGCCCAAACUGGCAGGUGCUUCUCUGGGGGCAAGGUCACAUGGGUUGAUUUAGCUUUGAGUGCUGAGGUUCUGUUCUCUGCAAGAUGCUGGAGAAAGGCUGUCAGGGUGCUUCUCUGAAUAUGGGCUUUAGCCUUAGCACUGGCAGAAACGUGAUGUGUCCCACAAACUGCUGGUGGAGGAAGAUGUUCGUCAGUCAGUUCAACCUCCAUCCAGCUUCUCGAGCCUAUUUGGUUUAAAAAAAAAAAAGGCUUCUAAUCAGAAGCCACUGACUUUUAUAAUAAAUAGCAGUUGUUUUGAA